rnacentral:rRNA from 1 species
GACGAACGCUGGCGGCGUGCUUAACACAUGCAAGUCGAACGGAGUAUUCAGCAAUGGAUACUUAGUGGCGAACGGGUGAGUAACGCGUAGACAACCUGCCUUCUAGAUGGGGACAACACCGCGAAAGUGGUGCUAAUACCGAAUGUUGUAUUUUAAUUGCAUGUUUGAAAUACUAAAGAUGGCCUCUAUUUAUAAGCUAUCGCUAGAAGAUGGGUCUGCGUCUGAUUAGCUAGUUGGUGAGGUAAUGGCUCACCAAGGCGAAGAUCAGUAGCCGGUCUGAGAGGAUGAACGGCCACACUGGGACUGAGACACGGCCCAGACUCCUACGGGAGGCAGCAGUGGGGAAUCUUCCGCAAUGGACGAAAGUCUGACGGAGCAACGCCGCGUGAGUGAUGAAGGUUUUCGGAUUGUAAAACUCUGUCUUCAGGGAAGAAUACCUUAUCGUGAAUAAUGAAUAAGGCUGACGGUACCUGAGGAGGAAGCCACGGCUAACUACGUGCCAGCCGCCGCGGUAACAC